AUUUCUCAAGAGACUUAUCCGGCCGGCUACAGACCCUUUAGACCCAAUAAUAACGGUUACCACUCGAGCCGCCGGUGUUACCGCGGCGGCUGGCACCGGUCUUGCCCGGCCCUUGCUAUGAAAUGCUUUUUAGGCAUCUCGACAGCCAGAUUUGUAACCUGGCACUCGAGGUUCCCUUAUCGCUGUUGCCAGCAUUGUAAAGUUUUCGCGCCUGCUGCACCCCGUAGGGCCUGGAUUCGUGUCUCAGAAUCCAUCUCCGGGCUCUUGCUCUCACAACCCGUACCCGUCGUAGGCUAGUAGGUACGCUACACCCACUACUACCUGAUAGGCCGCAGACCCAUCCUUAGGCGCCGGAGCUUUAAAUCUCGAUGCAUUCCAGCAAUCGAGACCUAUCGGGUAUUAUACCCAGUUUCCCGGGUUUAUCCCCG
rnacentral:rRNA from 1 species